GCCCGGAUGGCGAAAUUGGUAGACGCAAGGGACUUAAAAUCCCUCGGUAGCAAUACUGUGUGGGUUCGACCCCCACUCCGGGCACCA
rnacentral:tRNA from 1 species